rnacentral:lncRNA from 1 species
CUUAUUAUAUUGUAUAUGCCAUUACAUAAAUAGAAUCGAUACAUGUACAUAAGGUAUAAUAACAAAGACUCAUACAAUAAGUACAUGAAAAGAGAUUUAGUACACGACGGAUAUCACUACAUGGGUCGGGUAUCACUACAUGGGUCGAAUCGAUAUAUGUACAAGAACAAUAAACCCAGUGAAAUAAUCUUUUCUUCCGUCUUCACAAAAUCUAAUCUAACUCAAGGGAAUUGUAAAGAAUCAAUUCUAAGAAAGCCACAGCAAAAAUUCAGCUUUAAGUUAGUCAAACAACUAAGCUUGUCUAUAUUGUAACUUGUAGAGGAGCCUAUUGAAUGCAUUUGGCAACAUUUUUAAAUCCCGUUAAAAGAAAAACAAUAAAAUAUCCAUCAAGAAACUAAAGACACUAAGCGAUAGUUUAGAAAAGGAGAAUCUUUGUCACCUUUAACUUGCCUUCCGUUAGAGGAAGUUGAUUUCCUCAAAUUGGCUUAGAUUGGAUAUGUUCUCCAAUGCUUUGUGUGCGAAAUUGAAAGACAACAAAGAGUGACGAGAGCUAAAAUUCUAUCGUUGGAAAUACUAAGUACAAUAGUUGAAGGCAAUACUUGGAAAGUACAUAAAAUUUUGGACUAUGUAAAUAAUAAUCACUCAAGUAAUAUAUGCAUUAUUCUUCACCUUAAUGCAGCUGGAGCAACACGAACCACAAAAAUGAACAUCCAUGAGAGUACUAAAAUGUUAGUGUGAUUAUGUUUACUAAUUAAAGAGUUUGUAUGAAGUAUGGAUACCAUGAAAGAGCAUUUGAUUUAUCUUACCCAUGCAAAAAUCAAGUAAUAAACUUCAAUGUAGGGAUUGCAUCGCAUCCUCAACAUAGCAAAUUUUCAUCAAUUUAAACACCUAUUCAGCUAUUCUCCACCAGCAAAAUUUCAUGUCAUGCCAAAACAAAAUAACUGGAUUCUAAAAAAAAUAAAAAAAACCACCUACAUAUCUGUGUUGUUGCAAUCCAAGGUAAGCAACCUUCAAGACUAAUAUGUGACCAUAAAUUGUUUUAGCAUUAUGUUGGAGAAUAAAAAUAUUUUCUGACUAUGAGACUACAACAGCUGAUGAACGGAGCCCAUGGAGCUUGCCAAAUGAAGAGGUAAGCUGAAAGAACACGGUCAAAAGUUAAUAGGGAAAUCAUUGUAAUGGAAUAAUGGAACCAACCAUGUGAUAAAGGAGCAAGGAAGUGACAUGGAUCUGGAAGAAAUUGGUAUUGAAGAUGAAACGGAUCUAGGCACAUGUGGAACAUGCAAGAUACUGACAGAUCUGAAGCGAGAACAUGAGGAGACUACAGGAAAAGAGAUCAAGUAAUGCAUUUAGGAACAAUUUGAUGAUUUGCCCAAUUUUUGUUGGAGGAUAAAUGCAAAGGUUCAGGUGAGCAUCUUUUACUGUCAAUAAGUUUCUCUGGUUUUUCAAUUUUCAGAGUAUCUGAAACAAAAAUUUAAAUAAGAUGAUUAGUUGAACCAAGCAAUUCAAGGAACAUACUUUGACAAUAGUAAUGGAGAACUCCUCGUGGAACACACAUUUUGUGUCUAAAUGCAUAAGUUAACUAAAUCGCAGAUCAAAUCAUGAAACUACAAGAAACUUAAAUUAAUUCUGCAAGUGGAUGAAGAUCUGCAGCUUGACUUAUAUGUGAAAUUACAUAUGCAACCAACUCAUGCAAUCAAGUCAACGUGAGAUCAAAAGUAAAAACAACCCCGGCUACAAACUGUCGACGAUGACAACAGGUGAAAUAGCAAUUGGAGUUAAUCAUAACUCCUCAUCAUCUCCACAUCGCCAGCGGGAAUCCAAUAAAGGGGGAAGCAGAAGAUAGAGCAAAAGAAUAGAUGGAACACCUACCAAAAAGGGUGAUAGACGAACGCAGGAGGGCAGCUUCGAGAACGAAACGAAUUAAAAUGCUUCAGGUUGGAAUGGGGUCCAGUGUGUCCAGGAGUUCGUAACUCCACCAUUACUGUAAGAGAAAUCCAAUGAGUAGACUGGCAUGUCCGAUAGUAAGGACGGGGAGCCCAAACGGUGAAACCGGAGACCUUGUACACGCGGCUGACAAUGACACGCUUCUCCAAACCACCGGUGAAGGUUUAGUGUGAAUCGCCCGUAUGCGCACGCCCUGAAACGAAAGCAAACAAAAAAUUGCGGCCAGCGAAUGCAUAGACGAUGGCAGUAAGGAUAGCCGGAGGAGCAGUGUUGGGUGGAAUCGCGCAGCUCACCUCUGCGUCGGUCCACGGAUGGGUCACCGAGCAGCCAAACACGGUGGAUAUGUAGAAGGAGCUCCGGCGACGGAUCAUCGACGGAAAGAUCGCCAAUCACUGAAUCAGCAUACUAAAAAAGAGAAGAUAUGGGUUUGUACGCAGCAGAUUCAACAACAAAGAAAAGUUGGAAUGUUGGAAAGAAGGGAUAAGGGCAACACGUGGAAUCCAAGGGAAAGAGACAUAUAUGAGAACUACGGCUUUGGUGGAAAAGCUGAAUAGACCGGUAACAGCUACACAAUUGGAGAGAAACUGAUAUUGCAAGAGAAGUUGUGUUCCAACACAAAAAACAUCAAUUAAAAGGGAGACAGAAGUAAAACAAUCCCCUUGUAGCAAUGGGGGAUUUCAAAUCCAACUGAAAUGAUAAUAAACUACCAUCCAAUUCCAACAAAUAUUUAGAGAACCCAACCGAUAAAUCCUUAAAGAACAGUGCAAUUCCUUAGCGCUAUAUAGAAGAUUAAAUGAUAAAAUUGUAAUACAGUAUAAUAUUGGUUGUAAACAAGUAUUUAACACAAACUUCAACGUGAAGAGAGAACUAUGAUAAAAGACUUAC